rnacentral:rRNA from 1 species
GAUAAACGCUAGCGGCAGGCCUAACACAUGCAAGUCGAGGGGCAGCGUGGAAGUAGUUUACUACUUCUGACGGCGACCGGCGCACGGGUGCGUAACGCGUAUGCAACCUACCUAUAACAGGGGGAUAAUUCCGAGAAAUUGGUUCUAAUACCCCAUACUAUAUUGAAUGGCAUCAUUUGAUAUUGAAAGUUCCGGCGGUUAUAGAUGGGCAUGCGUUGUAUUAGCUAGUUGGUGAGGUAACGGCUCACCAAGGCGACGAUACAUAGGGGGACUGAGAGGUUAGCCCCCCACACUGGUACUGAGACACGGACCAGACUCCUACGGGAGGCAGCAGUGGGGAAUAUUGCACAAUGGGCGCAAGCCUGAUGCAGCCAUGCCGCGUGUGUGAAGAAGGCCUUAGGGUUGUAAAGCACUUUCAGCGGGGAGGAAGGGUAUAGGCUUAAUACGUUUAUACAUUGACGUUACCCGCAGAAGAAGCACCGGCUAACUCCGUGCCAGCCGCCGCUGUAAGAC